rnacentral:rRNA from 1 species
GACGAACGCUGGCGGCGUGCCUAAUACAUGCAAGUUGAGCGAUGAAGAUUGGUGCUUGCACCAAUUUGAAGAGCAGCGAACGGGUGAGUAACGCGUGGGGAAUCUGCCUUUGAGCGGGGGACAACAUUUGGAAACGAAUGCUAAUACCGCAUAACAACUUUAAACAUAAGUUUUAAGUUUGAAAGAUGCAAUUGCAUCACUCAAAGAUGAUCCCGCGUUGUAUUAGCUAGUUGGUGAGGUAAAGGCUCACCAAGGCGAUGAUACAUAGCCGACCUGAGAGGGUGAUCGGCCACAUUGGGACUGAGACACGGCCCAAACGCCUACGGGAGGCAGCAGUAGGGAAUCUUCGGCAAUAGACGAAAGUCUGACCGAGCAACGCCGCGUGAGUGAAGAAGGUUUUCGGAUCGUAAAACUCUGUUGGUAGAGAAGAACGUUGGUGAGAGUGGAAAGCUCAUCAAGUGACGGUAACUACCCAGAAAGGGACGGCUAACUACGUG